rnacentral:rRNA from 1 species
UACGAAGGGGGCUAGCGUUGUUCGGAAUCACUGGGCGUAAAGCGCACGUAGGCGGAUGUGUCAGUCAGGGGUGAAAUCCCGGGGCUCAACCUCGGAACUGCCUCUGAUACAACACGUCUUGAGUCCGGAAGAGGUGGGUGGAAUUCCUAGUGUAGAGGUGAAAUUCGUAGAUAUUAGGAAGAACACCGGUGACUAAGGCGACCCACUGGUCCGGUACUGACGCUGAGGUGCGAAAGCGUGGGGAGCAAACAGG